rnacentral:lncRNA from 1 species
UUUUCAAUGAUGAAUCACUUAGUGUGAAAGACUUGCCUUGUGUAUUCUUUAUGUAAUUACAAAUCACUGUCAAUUUUAUG